rnacentral:tmRNA from 1 species
GGGGGCGAUCUGGUCUCGACGUGGUCGGGGGACCGCUGGCUGCAUGCCGAGAUUCCAUCUAUCUCGUAAAACGGUGGAAAACCAAUAAGUGACGAAAACAAUUUCGCACUGGCUGCUUAAUUAGCAGCCCGUCCCGGGAGCGGGGGGUCACCGGACUACUCCCAUGGGGCGCCGUUUUCGGUGAAUAGCCACGGCGGCAGGUCUCUGGCCAAAGGGUGAAACAGUUGUGAGACUAGCCUGCAGGGCGGCAUGUUCCCUGGCCAUCCGGCAGGUUAAAUGACAGGGAACUAAGCAUGUAGACGCUGACGGGGUACCGGUUACGGACGCGGGUUCGAUUCCCGCCGCCUCCACCA